AGACACGGUGCAUCACUAACACACAGGUAACCACAGACACGGUGCAUCACUAACACACAGGUAACCACAGACACGGUGCAUCACUAACACUCAGAUGACCACAGACACGGUGCAUCACUAACACUCAGGUAACCACAGACACGGUGCAUCACUAACACACAGGUAACCAUAGAAACGGUGCAUCACUAACACACAGGUAACCACAGACACGGUGCAUCACUAACACACAGGUAACCAUAGAAACGGUGCAUCACUAACACACAGGUAACCAUAGACACGGUGCAUCACUAACACAAAGGUAACCACAGACACGGUGCAUCACUAACACACAGGUAACCACAGACACGGUGCAUCACUAACACACAGGUAACCACAGACAC
ensembl:lncRNA